CUUAUGAAAUUCAUAGAAGAAUCGGCUUAUGAAUUAGCCAAUGAUACUAUUCCAGCAAACUGGAUGCAGUUAGAGGGACAUAUCGAAAGUUUAAUACAACAAGGCAGUACUGUUUUAGAGGCCAGAGAGCUAAUUGACGACUUUCACACACUUGGUUUCGAAAGGGAUCAAUUACUUCCAUUUUUGCACUACCAGCAUUCGAGAGGAGAGCUUCUCUUCUUUUCGAAAGAAACUGCCACUGUAAGAAGAACAUUUACUGAAUGCAGCGAAGAUUCCAUUCUGAGCAGUACUCCAAUAUUUCUAGAUCCUAUGGUACUGAUUCAGUUCAUCAAUCUUAUUUUGAAGAGAAGACCGAAAGAAAAUUUUCAAAUCGGCUUAAGAUUACAGCAUGUCGCUUACUCUGCAGAGGGUGUUUUGGAUGAUAAAUAUCUAACGUCUACUCUCGACAGUGUAGAAGGUGGUAAUUUGAAAGAAUACAAAAACUAUUUCAUCCAAGAACUGAUUGCGUUGCAUGUUCUUUUCAAAUUCAAAGACGGUGAUCAAGAAUUAAUGUUUAUGCCAUGUCUCUUGAGACAACAACCACCAGAUGCUAUUCUUCAGUUUCAAAGAGCAACAGAGACCACAUCAGUGCUCGUUAUCAGGUUUAACAUCACUUAUAUUAGCCAAGCCGUAUUUCAUCAAUUAGUUGCUGCCUUGCAUAAGUAUUACUCGCCAAGAAAGCUGACAGAAAACAAUAUCAACAGAAUGCAGUUUUACUGUGGUUACAUAAGCUUUAACUUGUCGAAUUCCGGACUACAUCAAAUGCAAAUGAUUUGGAAAUCAAAUGGUAUUCAUCUGAAGAUCUCAAACUUUGCAAGCCAUGUUUCCCUCGAUACCAUCGUGAACAACGAAGGUGUAACAGUUUGUGAAGCUGCUCUCGACAAUACAUUAGAUUGUCUAAAUGAAGUACUUACUACGUACAGAGACUCCCCGGAUUACGAGCUUAUGGUUAUUUGUCCUGAACAUUUUAUGCCCCCUUCACUUGUGCCGUUCGAUAUUCUGGUAGAAGAAAAUGGCUGUCUUUGUCCGUGUGCAGAUCCACACGCGUUAACUAAAGAAAGAGCUUGAAAUUUUGGAUAUCACCUAGCUCUUUGAUACAGAGAUCAGUUACACCUGUCAUUAACCACAACAGUUGUCCGACGUCGAAGGACAUUGGUAGAAUUGCACUUGCUAUAGAGGUCAACAUACACAUCCUGGCACAUGUUUUGAAAAUUGAAGAUAUUGAAGCCGUCCGUCUCGCAUAUGAAUACCCAAAUGAUACCAAGAUGCAAAUAUUGAACCUGUUGUUGAAAUGGAAACAAAAAAAUGGAAGUGAAGCUACGUUUGGGGUUCUCCGGAAAAGACUUGGGAAAUUAAUCAAACGACGUGAAGGUGACUGGAUUGGUAAAGUCGUGAGGGAGGGCUUAAAAUCAGCAACAUGGGAACUUCCGACAGAUACUCUUCAGGCGAUUCCCGAUGACAGAAUUUUGUCAUUUUGCAUUAGCACCGCUUUACUUCCAGGAACAUUUUAUUUCUUUUUCCUGGAAUUAGGGUUAUCAGUCCCCGCUAUUGAGCGAGCGGACGAACAAUACAGGGGAUUUGUAUCACGAAUGUUUGAGUUGCUAAAGUUAUGGAAACAGCAGGAAGCGAACGAGGCUACAUUGCAGAGGCUACUUGACACUGCCGACUACGUGGGAAUGAAUUCAUCACUUAUGGUCCAGUAUGUAAGACGGGAACGAACCAAAACAGAACUUUUAGCAAGUUGGCAUAGUACAAAUGCAUAAUACAGGCAGGUUGAGAUAUAUGGAACGUCAUAUAAUAAACUGUUCUUUACAACGCAGUCGUAUGUAAAACAUUUUGAAAUAAGGCAACUCGAUUAAUAGAAUGAAAAUGUAGCAAGUACUAUACAUAUUUCCGUACUUCGUAAAUAUAUCACGAAAUUGACAACUGUCAUACGUUUAUA